rnacentral:sRNA from 2 species
ACAUAACGACACAACAAUGUUAUCCUCCUACAUGAGAGGGAUACAUUAUGCAUGCUCAGCCCCUCAUGCUCAAUUUUGAUUAGUGUAGCCACACAUGCAAAGGGAUCACAACAGAUUAACAACAAUAGUAUGCGCUUCUGCAGCAGUGCUCAUUGUACUAAAUAGACGAUUUAGUAGACCCAAAUCUAGGCUGGACCUCUUACAAACUCAUGAUGUUUUUGUGUGGAAGCAAUGACAGGUUGGCUGAGUAGAAAGUUGAGUGGACGGCCACAGUUUCGGAUUGCAAAUCACGGCCAUGAAUUCGGUUGAAUCGCGAGUCAAAAUGGUGUGGGCCACUGUUUCGGAUCGCAGAUCGCCAAGCUUGCAAGCACCAGGGCAAAACAACCUUGAAAUGACAGAAGCAUUGAACUCAAAGCGUGUCAAGAAGCCAUGGAUCGAGCACCGUAUCCUCAUGCAGAUAUGUUAACGACGGAAAGGCACACUACAGUGUAUGAUGCGUAGCUAUUUCGAUACUGUCGCGGCAAAGGUGUCUGUCUACCUUCUCAUCCAUGAAGAAAACCAGCACUCUACAAUUUAGCGAACCUGAUUCAAGUAGCCACUUUCCACACAUAGCUCUUAUAAUGAGGGAUUAUAUCACAGCCAACUAAGAAACAUAUUCUAUAAUAGCUUUCUAGCACCUCUAUUACAUACAAAAUAACUAUGUCAUCAAAAGCCUAAGAAUACAUAUGCCGCUGCUAAUUAGUAUAUCAAUAGAUAUUAACUAGUUAGAAUAGAUCAUUAGUAUCACUACAUCUUUAAUUAUCCAUGAAAGAAGAGUUGCUCAAAACAGAAGGUAUAUUGAAAAAGAAUGCGUCUCAAAAAAAAGUGUGCAAGGUGCUUGUCAAAGAAAAAGAGUGCAAGCUUAAAAAGCAGUGUGCUGAAAAUAAUGUGA